rnacentral:rRNA from 2 species
GUACCUUUUGUAUAAUGGGUCAGCGACUUAUAUUCUGUAGCAAGGUUAACCGUAUAGGGGAGCCGAAGGGAAACCGAGUCUUAACUGGGCGUUAAGUUGCAGGGUAUAGACCCGAAACCCGGUGAUCUAGCCAUGGGCAGGUUGAAGGUUGGGUAACACUAACUGGAGGACCGAACCGACUAAUGUUGAAAAAUUAGCGGAUGACUUGUGGCUGGGGGUGAAAGGCCAAUCAAACCGGGAGAUAGCUGGUUCUCCCCGAAAGCUAUUUAGGUAGCGCCUCGUGAACUCAUCUUCGGGGGUAGAGCACUGUUUCGGCUAGGGGGUCAUCCCGACUUACCAACCCGAUGCAAACUGCGAAUACCGAAGAAUGUUAUCACGGGAGACACACGGCGGGUGCUAACGUCCGUCGUGAAGAGGGAAACAACCCAGACCGCCAGCUAAGGUCCCAAAGUCACAGUUAAGUGGGAAACGAUGUGGGAAGGCUCAGACAGCCAGGAUGUUGGCUUAGAAGCAGCCAUCAUUUAAAGAAAGCGUAAUAGCUCACUGGUCGAGUCGGCCUGCGCGGAAGAUGUAACGGGGCUAAACUGUGCACCGAAGCUGCGGCAGCGACGCUUAUGCGUUGUUGGGUAGGGGAGCGUUCUGUAAGCCUGCGAAGGUGUCCUGUGAGGGAUGCUGGAGGUAUCAGAAGUGCGAAUGCUGACAUAAGUAACGAUAAUGCGGGUGAAAAGCCCGCUCGCCGGAAGACCAAGGGUUCCUGUCCAACGUUAAUCGGGGCAGGGUGAGUCGACCCCUAAGGCGAGGCCGAAAGGCGUAGUCGAUGGGAAACGGGUUAAUAUUCCCGUACUUGGUGUUACUGCGAAGGGGGGACGGAGAAGGCUAUGUUGGCCGGGCGACGGUUGUCCCGGUUUAAGCGUGUAGGCUGGUUUUCCAGGCAAAUCCGGAAAAUCAAG